UGCAAGUCGAACGAUGAUGCCCAGCUUGCUGGGUGGAUUAGUGGCGAACGGGUGAGUAACACGUGAGUAACCUGCCCCUGACUCUGGGAUAAGCGUUGGAAACGACGUCUAAUACUGGAUAUGAUCACUGGCCGCAUGGUCUGGUGGUGGAAAGAUUUUUUGGUUGGGGAUGGACUCGCGGCCUAUCAGCUUGUUGGUGAGGUAAUGGCUCACCAAGGCGACGACGGGUAGCCGGCCUGAGAGGGUGACCGGCCACACUGGGACUGAGACACGGCCCAGACUCCUACGGGAGGCAGCAGUGGGGAAUAUUGCACAAUGGGCGAAAGCCUGAUGCAGCAACGCCGCGUGAGGGAUGACGGCCUUCGGGUUGUAAACCUCUUUUAGUAGGGAAGAAGCGAAAGUGACGGUACCUGCAGAAAAAGCACCGGCUAACUACGUGCCAGCAGCCGCGGUAAUACGUAGGGUGCAAGCGUUGUCCGGAAUUAUUGGGCGUAAAGAGCUCGUAGGCGGUUUGUCGCGUCUGCUGUGAAAUCCCGAGGCUCAACCUCGGGCUUGCAGUGGGUACGGGCAGACUAGAGUGCGGUAGGGGAGAUUGGAAUUCCUGGUGUAGCGGUGGAAUGCGCAGAUAUCAGGAGGAACACCGAUGGCGAAGGCAGAUCUCUGGGCCGUAACUGACGCUGAGGAGCGAAAGCAUGGGGAGCGAACAGGAUUAGAUACCCUGGUAGUCCAUGCCGUAAACGUUGGGCGCUAGAUGUAGGGACCUUUCCACGGUUUCUGUGUCGUAGCUAACGCAUUAAGCGCCCCGCCUGGGGAGUACGGCCGCAAGGCUAAAACUCAAAGGAAUUGACGGGGGCCCGCACAAGCGGCGGAGCAUGCGGAUUAAUUCGAUGCAACGCGAAGAACCUUACCAAGGCUUGACAUACACCGGAAACGGCCAGAGAUGGUCGCCCCCUUGUGGUCGGUGUACAGGUGGUGCAUGGUUGUCGUCAGCUCGUGUCGUGAGAUGUUGGGUUAAGUCCCGCAACGAGCGCAACCCUCGUUCUAUGUUGCCAGCGGGUUAUGCCGGGGACUCAUAGGAGACUGCCGGGGUCAACUCGGAGGAAGGUGGGGAUGACGUCAAAUCAUCAUGCCCCUUAUGUCUUGGGCUUCACGCAUGCUACAAUGGCCGGUACAAAGGGCUGCGAUACCGUAAGGUGGAGCGAAUCCCAAAAAGCCGGUCUCAGUUCGGAUUGAGGUCUGCAACUCGACCUCAUGAAGUCGGAGUCGCUAGUAAUCGCAGAUCAGCAACGCUGCGGUGAAUACGUUCCCGGGCCUUGUACACACCGCCCGUCAAGUCAUGAAAGUCGGUAACACCCGAAGCCGGUGGCCUAACCCUUGUGGAAGGAGCCGUCGA
rnacentral:rRNA from 1 species